rnacentral:tRNA from 2 species
GCCGGCUUAGCUCAGUUGGUAGAGCGGCUGAUUUGUAAUCAGUAGGUCGAGAGUUCAAGUCUUUCAGCCGGCA